rnacentral:rRNA from 1 species
AUGGCUCUGAGGUUUGGUUUAAUUCUUGCACAAAAGGCGGGAUGCAAUCGUCUUAUUAUUAACUCUGAUAAUAUGGAAGUCAUUGACACAAUGAAAAAUGGAGGACAAUUGGCGGGAGUUGCGGCGGCAGUCUUCGAGGAUUGCUACUUCAUGGCAUGUGAUUUUCCGUUGACUAGAUUUGAACAUUGUAAUAGGAUAGCUAAUAAGGUUUCUCAUGAACUUGCUAGGCUAGCGAAAGUUUCUGUAACUAGAGAUUGGUUUGAGGAGCCUAUGGAGAAUAUUGUACCUCUUCUUAUAGACGAUGUAACCAUUAUUUCCAAUCAAUAA